CCAUGAACUUGUUUCAACCAGAGCACACUUCGUCGUCAUGGUCAGUGAAAGCCUGUGAGCUUCAAAGAGGUUAAAGCAAAUUAUCUUGUUCCUCUUAAUGGCAGCAUGCAACAGGACACAGAAGGUAUUUCACCCAAAUAAAAGAAGCAAUUGGAGAGAAAAUUACCUGCCAGUGGUACACCUGAUAGCAGACCGUGACCACCUCUAG
rnacentral:lncRNA from 1 species